AGUCGUAACAAGGUCAUCGUAGGUGAACCUGCGGUGGGAUCAUUAUCAGAAUAUAAUAAUUGGUGGUGGGUUUAUGUAGGGGAAGGGAUUGAGUUUCUUAGGGAGCUUUUUUCUCUUUUUCCAUAGGCCAUCAUUACUUGUGUGAAUAAGAGUUUUAGUAGGGUGUAUUUAAAAAAGCCCUAUGAAGAGGUAUAUGUUUUGUGGUAAUGUAAAUUCCAUAGGAAUCUUUUCUUACCACAAAACUAUGCCUUUGAACCUAUCAACUAUUAUGAACAAAUUUCUACUAAGAAAACUAUAAACAUAUGGUAGUCUUAAAAAAACUGCUUCAUAACAUUUUUUUUUACAACUAUCAAUGGCGGAUCACUUGGCUCUU
rnacentral:misc_RNA from 1 species